rnacentral:rRNA from 1 species
AUUGAACGCUGGCGGCAGGCCUAACACAUGCAAGUCGAGCGAGCGGCGGACGGGUGAGUAAUGUAUGGGGACUCCCCGAUAGGGGGGGGGAACAACUGGAGACGGUAGCUAAUACCGCAUAGUAUCGGAUGACGCAUAUGGGAUUAGCUAGUAGGUGAGGUAAUGGUGCACCAAGGCGACGAUCCCUAGCUGGUCUGAGAGGAGGACCAGCCACACUGGUACUGAGACACGGCCCAGACUCCUACGGAGUCAGCAGUGGGGAAUAUUGCACAAUGGGCGCAAGCCUGAUGCAGUAAUGCCGCGUGUAUGAAGAAGGCCCUAGGGUUGUAAAGUACUUUCAGUCGGGAGGCGUUACCGACAGAGGAAGCACCGGCUAACUCCGUGCCAGCAGCCGCGGUAAUAC